GUCGACACCUCUGUCUCCUGCGCAGGAUACGUGUCAACCCGGAGAUCCCCGUAAUAGAUCUCUGUAAUAAACCUUGCCUUUGCUUAUUACAUCCAAAAUGGUCUCUCUGUGUCUGGGGUCCACGAUUUCCCGCGACUUUAGAAAGGGUCUCUCUUCGGGGAUCUUUCAUUUGGGGGCUCGUCCAGGAUCUUCGCAACCACCCCAGACUCCGAAGACCCCUUGGAGUAACUGUUACAGGUCUUCUUUACCACUGAGGAAAGACAGAAUCCUACUAGAGGCCAGAAAGAAUGUUCCAGACAUGGAUGGAAGGCUCCUGACUGUUGACUUCAAUACCCCUGAAGGCUAAAAGACCUACAGGUGAUACGGAAAGAAGUCUGGUCACAGCUGGCAGCAGCCUAUACCCCAGGGACCCUCGAGACAUCUCAUCAGUUCCAGGUCAGAGACUACAGCUACAUAUAACGAUACAGAGCCCAGACACUCGAGCCUCGCUGGAAAGGACCGUACCUGGUGCUGCUGACCACCCUGACAGCCGUCAAUUCUCAGCCCUCACCAGCCGUGUACUAGCUGUUGGGGCUGAGAGCUGGGACCUAGAGGGAAACUCAGAUCUUCAAAAAGCUCCCUAGACUUAAUUUCAUGUUUGCCCUGGGUUCUAUCAAGAUAGGUGUGGGGAUAGGCUUGAUUUCUAUUACAAAUGAUGUAACAUUACAUAUGUUAGUACUCCUAACACUUCUUGGGACUGUGCCUCAAGGGAUCACAAUCUGUAUAAGUUUAGAAGUUCUAAAAGCUAGUCAUGACCUUGGUGUGUAGGUUUAGAUAGUGUCCAGAUUGGAAUCCUGAUGCUAAAGAUUUAGUUAAAAAAAAAAAAAGAGUUGAGAAUUACUUAAGGCUAUCUAGGUGCUGCAAGGGCAGCACAAGGACAUCUGCUGUUGCCCUACAAUACAAGGCUUAUAGAGAAUUCAGAACUGCCAUUGACUCAGAUAUAAAAAGAGUGAAGGACUUUUUAGCUGACCUCCAAGAAUACCUAACCUCCCUCUCAGAGGUAGUCCUUCAGAAUAGGAGAAGAUUAGACCUGAUAUUCCUUAAAGAAGGAGUCUGUGUGCUACAUUGAAAGAAGAAUGUUGCUUCUAUGCAGACCAUUCAGGAGUAAUUAAAGACUCCAUGAAUAAACUUAGAGAAAGGUUAGACAAAAGACAGACAGAGAAGCGCAUCAAGGAUGGUUCAAGAGCUGGUUUAGUAGAUCUCCUUGGAUGACUACUCUGAUAUCUUCCCUUAUGGGACCCUUCUUAGUUUUGCUUUUGCUUCUGAUUAUAGGUCCAUGUGUGUUAAAGAAACUAGUUAAUAGGUUUGACUCCUACAAAAAGAUAGAGACGCUCAACAAGGUUGGUUUGAGUCUUGGUUCACUCGGUCUCCCUGGAUGACUACCCUACUCUCUGCUACAGCUGGGCCACUACUAAUAAUUUUCUUGGUUUUAGUUUUUGGACCCUGCAUGACAAACAGGUUAAUUGCUUUUGUUAAAAAUUGAGUGGGUGCUGUGCGGUUGAUGGUUCUGAGACAACAGUACCAGUCAGUUAGGACAACUGGUGAGACGAAAUACGAGAUUUGAUAUCAAAAUUCUAAGAUUAGAAUUACUUAGUAGAAGAAGAGGGGAAUAAAAGGAAAAUUAUACAGAUUUAAGGUUUAAAAAUAUAAAAUUAAAAGAGUAAGUUUCUAAACACUGUCCAGGCAGGGCAGGGCCUGCCCUACAGCCAAGACUGACAGGCCAUAAAGAUACAGAAGGGCACCUCCCCCAGCUUACUCAGAGUCACACCUUAACCAGAUGUCUUUCAAACCCUGAUAAGCCCCUAGACUCUAAAGUCCUGUACGCCCCAGUCAGCACGAACUCUUCUGCUGUGUUGUCUGUUUGAAUGAGCCAAUCACUUAUAGCCGCGCCAAAAAUUAGCCAAUUGUGUGUAACCGCGCCAAACCCCCUAGCUUUCCCUAUAUAAACUCCUGACUUGAGUUUCGGGGUCGACACCUCUGUCUCCUGCGCAGGAUACGUGUCAACCCGGAGAUCCCCGUAAUAGAUCUCUGUAAUAAACCUUGCCUUUGCUUAUUACAUCCAAAA